GCCACCAUGGUGUAGUGGUUUGCGCAUUGGAUGAUAACUCUGGAGACCCGGGUUCGAUUCCCAGAUCAGCCA